rnacentral:rRNA from 1 species
GAUCCUGGCUCAGGACGAACGCUGGCGGCGUGCUUAACACAUGCAAGUCGAACGAGAAUCUACUGAAGGAGUUUUCGGACAACGGAUGUAGAGGAAAGUGGCGGACGGGUGAGUAACGCGUGAGGAACCUGCCUUGAAGAGGGGGACAACAGUUGGAAACGACUGCUAAUACCGCAUGACGCAUAGGGGUCGCAUGAUCUUUAUGCCAAAGAUUUAUCGCUUCAAGAUGGCCUCGCGU